GUCCAUGCCGUAAACGUUGGGCGCUAGGUGUGGGGCUCAUUCCACGAGUUCCGUGCCGCAGCUAACGCAUUAAGCGCCCCGCCUGGGGAGUACGGCCGCAAGGCUAAAACUCAAAGGAAUUGACGGGGGCCCCGCACAAGCGGCGGAGCAUGCGGAUUAAUUCGAUGCAACGCGAAGAACCUUACCAAGGCUUGACAUGGGGUGAAAACUCGCAGAGAUGCGGGGUCCGCAAGGGCGCCUCACAGGUGGUGCAUGGUUGUCGU
rnacentral:rRNA from 1 species